CUUUGCCUACAAAAUGUUUAAUUUGUCAAAAGUGCAUAGAAAUUAAGAUAGUCAUCCUUCGAUAAUUCCUCGACAAUUAAGAUAGUUAUUUUUCGAUAAAUUGUAUAAUAACAAAAAACUAUCAAAGCAAACUUUCGUUUUAAGAAUGGCGUUCAAUACAUAAAUCAGACGAAUCGUAAAAGUGAAUUUAUCGAAAAAGCAUCGAUUUAAAUACCACCAGGAUGGAAUAAUAUAUCUUAGAAGAAGCUGUUUGAAAAGUUGUAACUGGCCAACCGUAUUGUCACCGUACAAUCACGCAAGUAAUCAAGGCCAGCAUCACGUAACACUAAUCAGCCUAUGCGCAAGACGCCGAGUUCCAUGCAAGACUGUUUGUACCUCGUAAACGAAUUGCAAGGUGUUUUACUCUGCAAAUGAGAUAAGGACAAGCUGUUGUUCUUAAUGCUCAUUGGUGUCACGAAAAAUCUCCAAACAACCUUGUAAAAUGAAACAAAGUGGGUGAUUUCUAAUGAUCAAGAGAGAAUUGCCCCAUGAUGAACCUGUCGUAAACCCGUCUCACGUGUUCGAGUUACACCCAGACGAAACCGCAGCAUAGAAACCGCGGUUUCGUUGUUGCACGGAUCCACUUUACUGCGAUAUAGUCUGAAAACUCUUUAAAAAGUUAGAAUCGAAUCAGAUACAUAGACUGCAGCUAAUCAUUUUACAAAUGUUAUUCGUCGAAAGUACUAACAAUCUACGAAUAGUCAAAUGGACCGAAAUCGAAAAACAUAACAGAAACGCAAGAUGAAAGGUGUCAAAUUAAUAUCGCACGAAACAGGACGACGUCGUUCUCCUACGACAAAAAUACCGUACAUAUAAUCGACGAAUAAUCAAAAUUUGAAUCUCGAUCAAAAGAUAAAAGUGCGCGAGAUUCAAACUGCAGCGCGAGAACACAAACAAGGACAACAGGAUAGAAGCAAAGACGAUGGAAAUGUGACUCACACCGCGAUCGUGUACAUGAAACAUCGUAGCCGCAGCCGUUGCCUCCUGUGAUGGGAAUAAAAU